AUGUUCUAUGAAAGGAGAGAAGGUUAGCAUUCCCUUUGACAAAGAUAGAAGAGGCCCUCAGGCCUAAAAACAUGCAUGCAGUUAAGGCAUUGCCACCUACUUUGUGCUGUCUAACCAUACUUUUGG
rnacentral:ncRNA from 1 species